rnacentral:rRNA from 1 species
AUUGAACGCUGGCGGCAUGCCUUACACAUGCAAGUCGAACGGCAGCACGGGUGUUUGCACCUGGUGGCGAGUGGCGAACGGGUGAGUAAUACAUCGGAACAUGUCCUGUAGUAGGGGAUAGCCCUGCGAAAGCCGGAUUAAUACCGCAUACGAUCUACGGAUGACAGCGGGGGCCUUUGGGGCCUGGCGCUGUGGGGUUGGCUGGCGGCUGAUUAGCUUGUUGGUGGGGUAGAGGCCUACCAUGGCGCUGAUGAGUAGCGCGUGUGAGAGGGCGACGGGCGACAAGGGGACUGGGACACGGCCAAGACGUCUACGGGAGGCAGCAGUGGGGAAUAUGGCAAAAGGGGCGGAAGGCUGAUGCAGCGACGCCGCGUGAGGGAGGACGGAAGUCGGGUUGUAAACAGCUUUCGCAUGUGACGAAGCGUGAGUGACGGUAAUGGGUAAAGAAGCACCGGCUAACUACGUG